CUGGAGCAGUUCCAUGUGGCAACCCCUGAUAUACUACAAAUGGGAUCUGCUGGAUCACGCUGCUCAAUGAUGGACUUCCCUUGCUGCCCUCCUUGCUGCCCUGCAGCCAAGGACUGUGUGCCUCCGCUGUCUGCCAGCUCCCGGGCCCCUUGCCAGCAGCUGCAUGCGCGUGUUGUGAACUACUCCACCCACACAAAACUGCCCCAGCCCCUCCAUGGAGGUCACUCUCUGUGCCCACUGCCCAAUGUGGACUCCCCACGCCUACACUGAACGAGUGUUCAACCUGCCCCUCCUGCCUUGUAAGGAGGAGGGUGAGUGCAACAGCAGAGCAGCACAUGACCAACGCCAUCCCAGCUGCUGUGAGAGCGCCAGACCUCUGGUGACACGGUGGGCGUUGUAAACUUGAACUAUGCCUUGAGACAAUGAAGCAACAUCCCCACUCUCUCCAGUGUUUCCCAACCCAGUCAGCUCCUCUGCUGACCCACUACAUGCAGCUGUGCCAGUGGGGACACACCCAGCACCCCCAAAACUUGUGCUGCCCUGAUGGGAUACUGGCCCUAGCGCCCCAUUGCCUCCAGAACCCUGUUGCUUGGUGGUUUCUUUGCCCAUGGACCCACUGGGAAUGGGGUUCCCCCUGAGAUUCCAGCCUGUGUCCCUGUAAAAAAGGGAAUUUACUUGCCCCAGUGGGGCAAAGUGCAGAGAGGGGGGGCACACCUCCACUGUGCUCCUGGAGAACAGUAACGACCUUUGUUUCCCCAAAUGACUGAGUUUGUGAAAUAUCAAAGGCAGCAUGUGUGACAGGGCACAGUAACCCAUGCUGGUACUUGGGAUAAAGCUAAGACAUUCCCCCAGACCCUGCCUCCUUGGAAUUCUCCAGAGUUGCCACUCCUCUGACAGUCUUCUCAUGAUUGCAGCCAGUCCUGCCACUCAAGCAGGCUUUAAUGGCUACCAAAAGCAGCAAAUGGCUGGCCCCAAGCCUGGUUUGCAGCCUCUGCUUCUGGGAGUCAAGGGCCAUGCCCAGGGCUUCCCAUCACCCAUUUUGCAAGGGCAGGACCAUUACCAGCCAGGGAGACAUCCCUGUGCUGCCUGCCACCUCCCUUGGCAGCAGAGAGGUGAAUGUGACCCCCAGAGCUGCAAAUGGCAUCUUGGAGGGGCUCUGUGGGGAUGGAAAACAAACUGUCCUUGGAACAGAAGGCUGGCCUCCUAGAGGAGACUGAAAACAGUUCUAAAAUGCGAGAGGGAAGAUGGGUAGUGACCCACCAAUGCCAUCUAAACUUGGGCUUAAUAUCCUUAAUAUCUUUUAGUAAAUGGACCUUGCAGGAGGCCUUUUGGCAGUCUCACCCUGUUCAACAGUUUUCUCUUUCAUUGCAGCCCUAUUUCUUCACUUUUCUCGAGAAAUCGCAAGGAUUAAUGACAUUUGGGCUCCUGCUCUCCAGCUGCAACAAGCCAGGAGGGGCAGAGGGCCAAGGGUGGCCACAUGGCUUCAUUUCCUGAACCCCCAGCAGCUUUGAUGCUGAGUGCAUGUGGAAAGGAAGAUGGAUGGUGAGGGAGGAGAGACCACUGGUAUGCAGCCACCUUUCAAGGAGCAUUCCUGAUUUACAGCCGAGACCCAGAUUUUAGUACAGACGGUAACUAUCCACCCUGGGGAGCCAUGCUCAUGGUAUGUUUUAGACAGGGCAAAGAAGGGAGAAGUCCUAGCCUUCCUGCAGCUGAAGUGGGUCUUUUCAGCUCCCCAGAUUCCAGCCCUGCAGCCCAAGGUGCUCGAACACUGCCAGCAGCAAGUGGUCUGUGUGAUGCAGAGCUGCUGCCCCUGCAAGGGGCUGCACAAGGUCACUGAGGAGGCUCAGUUUUAUUACCCAACAAAUUGAAAUUGCUGCUGUGGUAUUUUUACUAUUGGUCUGUGCCCACUUUCAUUCUUAGCACAACUCAUGUUUCUUCAACCAAAUUUCCCCAUGGUUGGGUUCGUUGGGGAUUUUUCUCGUUACCCCCGACUAAUAAAAUUCCAACCCCAUUUUUCAGUUUGCACCAGCUGCAUGCGGCAGGAGAUUUACAGAGCCGUUCAGAGAUCCUGCUUUGAGAGUGUUGUUAUCCUCCUGCAUCACUCCAACAGCCUCGUGGGCCUUCUACAGUGUAAGUGUCUGCAGAGAUCAGAGAGCUUGCAGCUAGUGGUACCACCUCAGGCUUUCUUGUGCUCCUUCACAUGCUGCAAUGAGGUUCUCCCAGUAUGAACAUGGGACUUUGGUUUGUGUAAGGCGUUAUCUGGACUCCCAGUAUCACAUGGGGUUUGGUCCCUUUUCACAGAUUAUUCUGAGCUGGAAGGGAACGGCAUCCAAUUCUUAAGGGAAUGGCCUGUACAGGGAUUGAACACAUGACCUUGGUGUUAUUGGCACCUCACUCUAACCAACUGAGCUAAUCUCAGGUAGCAAAGAAGGGGGCACCCGGAUUUGAGCCAGGAAUCUCUUGAUCUGCAGUCAAAUGCUCUACCACUGAGCUAUACCCUCCCUUUGUACAGACCUACAACCUGAGAAGCGCACAGCUACUAUAUCCUGCUGCUCCUCUUCUUUUUCCAGGUAAAGGCACCUAUUGCACAUCUUGUCUCAUUAAGUCACGGGUCCUUAGACAGAUUUAUUUCUGCCUCAUUUUGGGAAAUCUACCUGGUUUUGGUUUUGCAGUAGCCUGAUAUUUCACUUCUGGGUAACAGUUUGAGUCAAAUGCUUUAAAAACACUGCAAAGCAAACAGAAAUGGGUAGAUGUUUUCUACCUUCUUUUAUUUUUGUAUGUGUGCCUGGUUCUUAGUAAGUGUCUGAGGGGAAAAAAAAGAAAGAUAUGACUGACGAUUUGUUGCUCUUUCUUUGGAAAAGGUCCAGACUAUAGAACAGGGUUAAAAUGCCAGGAAAGAGUUUGCUGCAUAGAGGCAGGCUUAUAUUAUUUGAUUUUAUACAUUCCCUGGGUAACAUAUUUUCUUUAAUUUGAGAUCCUGGAGAAGUCAUUUUAGAUCUUUAUUCAACACAGCUUAUUUGCUCUUCUUCUCAGUUUUCCUUAUUUUUAGAAAGGUGAAGCACGUUCCCAAAUUAAAUCGUUUCUGGGAUGGACCUCAGCCAAGAGGAUCCAUGGUUCAAGCCAUAAGGCACAGGAAACAUAAGAGUAGAACAAUGGAGUUUUAUAUUGUGUUUCGUUUGGCAGGGUGAGGAGAGAUAUGGUUUUGAAAGAUUUGCAGUCUUACAUAGCUAUAGUAUAUUUCAAAAGACAGUAAGGACUAUUUUCACUUCUCACUUCGCUUAAAAAAAAUAAGCACACCCAGAAAUGCUAGAAAUGUGGGAUUGCCGGAUUCUCCUUAGUUCCAAGAAAAGGUUUGUGCUUACAGUAACAUCCCAAAUAUUAGCUGAAGUGGGCUGAUCCUCUACCCUUUUGCUGAUGUGCUUGUCCCUGCUGCAGCUACCAAGGCAGAGCUUGCAGCAGCCUGGCCCCAAGCCAGGCUCCUCUCCCUAGCGUCCAUGGAUUAUAUUCCUUAUGUCAGCCUCUCAUUUCAGUGACCCGGAGAUCCUUCUCCAGAUGGGACAAUUUUGCACAGCUCCUCUGAGGUUGUUUUGCAGUGACAGAGCAAAGCCCUGCAAAGCUCGCUCCCAGGUGAAAGUUUGACACACGGUGCCCGUGAGCCACAAGAACAUGUGCCACUGCCAGGGAGCAAGAACGUGCCUCCCUUCUGCCAUGGCUGUGGCCAAAUCCCCUCUGUCACAGUGCUCUGGAAAGCAGGGCAGCCAGUGCCUGCAGCUGCGGGCAUGUGAGCAUGAAGCCAUUUGCUGGUGACGCUCUCUGGGGCUGGGAUGACUCUCCCUGGCUGCUCCACGGGCUGCCUGCCAGCCAGCUGAGACCUCACUGCUCCCCCAGCUGAGCCACUAAAGCAGCAAGAUUUAAAAACAUAAUAUAAAACUGGACUAAUAAUUAAAAAUUAACUGUCCCUGCUAAACAGCAUAUUAAAAUGUAUCCUUACACAGGGAACAAAUGUCUCCGAGCAACAAAAGCAAACAACCAGCAAGCCAGGGUCUGGUAUCUCCUUUCCAGCUUUCUGAAAGGGUAAGUUUAUAUUGAAGUCACUUUUUUUCCAAGCACCUUGGUGUUUGGAAACAGCACGUCAAUUCCCGUACCAGCUAACCUGCUGCAGGCAUCGACUGAGAGUCAGCUGGAGCCAGACCCUCCAGGAGCCAGGGAUGGAGAGUCUGCCACGGCCUUGGUUCCCAUCAAGCAGUGUGUCGCAUGGUGCCCGUGAUGAGCACCACAAAUCUCUGAACAACAGCGAGAGCUUCAGGGGAACAACUUAUUUCCAAGGCACGUCACGCCAGAGCUCCUCCACGAUCCAUCGCCCCAUCUGACAUCUGCUGGGGCACUGCAAUUCUGCAAAACACAAGAUUUACGUAGCGUUGGAUGGUUUGCACGCUCCUGGUUCAAUUUGGUGCCUAAGGUUCCAUAUCCACACCUAGGAUGCAUCUAGAUCCCUUUUGGUAUGUUGAAGGACCCUCUGAGAGAUGGUAUAUAGGGCUGGUGGUGGAGCCACAUGCUCCCUGCACUCUGCUGACCAUCAGCACUGCUCCUGCAAAUGAGGGUCUCCACAGCAGACUGUUUGCCCAAGAGUCAACCCUUCUCUCAAAGACUCCUGCAGCAAAAGCUUGCGCUUUCUGGGGAAAAAAAGUCCUGGGUUCAGUCAAUGCCUUCUUUUAAAACCUUGCAAGAAACUAAAGAAAUGCCAUGUAGGUUACUUCUUAAAAUAAUAUAAAUGUCAGUGAAGACUUUGUGUUGGAGGCAAUUAAAAUAACGUGGGAGAACCUU